UUAAGAGGCUUAUUUUUAUUAUCAGUCUAGGCAAGACUAAAAAUUCAAAGCAAAUUCAAUUUUGCUUAAGGGAACAUUGUAAAGUAACAAUUCUUCAUAU